UUGACGCUGAGGUUGGUACUUGUACCACUGGAUGAGCAGCGAACGGGUGAGUAACGCGUGGGGAAUCUGCCUUUGAGCGGGGGACAACAUUUGGAAACGAAUGCUAAUACCGCAUAAAAACUUUAAACACAAGUUUUAAGUUUGAAAGAUGCAAUUGCAUCACUCAAAGAUGAUCCCGCGUUGUAUUAGCUAGUUGGUGAGGUAAAGGCUCACCAAGGCGAUGAUACAUAGCCGACCUGAGAGGGUGAUCGGCCACAUUGGGACUGAGACACGGCCCAAACUCCUACGGGAGGCAGCAGUAGGGAAUCUUCGGCAAUGGACGAAAGUCUGACCGAGCAACGCCGCGUGAGUGAAGAAGGUUUUCGGAUCGUAAAACUCUGUUGGUAGAGAAGANCGUUGGUGAGAGUGGAAAGCUCAUCAAGUGACGGUAACUNCCCAGAANGGACGGCUAACUNCGUGCCAGCAGCCNCGGUAUACGUAGGUCCCGAGCGUUGUCCGGAUUAUUUGGGCGUAAGCGAGCGCAGGUGGUUAUUAAGUCUGGUGUAAANGCAGUGGCUCANCAUUGUNUCC
rnacentral:rRNA from 1 species